ensembl:lncRNA
GUGAGAUUCCAGGAGCCCGUCGGGCCUUCCUGUCCUUAGAAGGGCCAUGUGGCCUGGGGGAAGUGCUCUGGAGCCAGGCAGGCCUGGCUCUGGCGCCUUGACUCCUCCUGACCCCCCAGCUGUAAGACCCUGAAUUAGUCACUUUACCUCUCGGGCCCCACCUGUCAAAUGGGCACAGGGGUCUCUACCUCUCAGAGUCAUUAUGAAGGGUUUCUGAGACCACCGGCCAAGGGGUCAAGGGUCGUCCACAGCGCCUGGCUCCCAGCAGAGACGCCUCCCUGCUCUGCCCGGUGAACGCAGCAAGCCUGCCACCCCAGGAGGAGCCAGAGCCUCGCACGGUAUGCACCCACCUGGGUCCACGGCCUGCUUGAGGCAAACUCGGGAACUUCUGUCCCCUCUCCUAGACUGGCCGGCUAGCCAUGGCCGUGGUCCCACAGCUGGCAGGCCCGGGCUGGUGAGGUAGUGUCUGUGUCCGGCCCCGUCUAGUGCCCACAUGAUGUGGGCACAGAGGGGGAGCUGGGCGGUCAGACACAGGCCUCUGGGGAGACGCUCAGCACGGCAGGAGCCCGUGGAGGCACCAGGUGGCUGGCCCAGCCCCCGCUCCACUGGGGACCACAGCCCUCUCCUGUGCAGUGGGAGACAUAAGCCCAGGCUGGCCUACUGCCCAGGAUCUGAGGGAAGUGGGUGGACAGUCCUCAGGCCCUGAUGGCCCUCCUGGGGUCCUGCCAGCUGGACAGUUCAGGGGAGCUGCAGAAAGAUGAGGUCACUGGGACAGAGGGCAUCACUUGUGUACAGAAAAUCACCCAGAGCCAAAGUUGUGUGGAGGGUCACACGCAGUCCCACGGUCAGACGACCCCUGGGCAGAGAGGGCAGCCCCCGGAGGCCCUGGGGCCCUGGCAGGCAGGCCUGGUGGGGAGGUCACGGCAGGGAGACCUCAGACGUUGGCCAGCAUGUCUGCAAAAGACUCUGGACAGCACAGAGGUGACACUCGGUCACUUGCAAAUACGGGGCGCUGCUGUGGGCUUGAGCCACCUGGCCCCCAGCAAACUGUGCAGAAGUCACGGCUGCCACUCUCCUCAGACCCACAGACCGGGCACCCGAGGGCCUCAGAGGGAGGCGGGGCGGGGGGUGGUCAGAGCUGAGGACCCCGGGCCUCGGUCUCCCCGUGGGUGCCCAGAGGACCAGAUCACAGAGACGUCAACCCCCCUGUUCUAAAGAAGGGGCCACUAAAGCAGGUUCAGUGGGAAUGACAGUGACCAGGAAUGCGUCCUGUGGCCUGGGCUGACCUGCAGCCCCGGGAGAGGGACGGGAGGAUCCGGGAGUCAUCACCGUGUGUGACACACCCACCCCACUGAACUCACGCUCACAUACAUCAGACUCACACAUUCAUACCCAUUCAACUCACACUCACAUGCACACUUACUUGCACACUCACACACACACACACACACACACACCUGUGCAGUCCAAGUCCCGGGAAGACGGGAGGCACGGUGGCUCCCUCCCAGCUCGCCAGGGAGCCUCCUCCAGCCGCUCGCUGACGCCACGUGCACGCAGACUCCGAGCCUCCUACGUCCGGACAAAGGGACCAGAACUCCUAGUCCACUUCAGCAGGACCUCGGGGCCUGUGUUCGCGGCCUGGACGACAAAGCCGCCUCUCGCCUCGGCUGUCAGAGCCCGGGAGCUGCCCCGGGAAGACUCCGGGCCUCAGCUGGGCUGACACGGUGCGGUGAGAAGGAAGGGAGCAGCCGACUCGCCCAGGUGCGUGACGUCCCGCGUCCCCAGGGGCACCGCUCAGCACCGUUCACACACCCUGCCCAGCGCCGGCCACCGUGCAGGUACCUGGGACAGAAGCUCUCGCUCAGCACCAACUGGGAGCUCCCAGGGCCGUGGAGGCUGACUCAUUACUAAACAUUCCUAUUAUUAGCUUCACUUUUUCUUCUGAUGUUAAAAGAAAUUAAAAUCACACAUCUUUAGGGCCCCUAGGAACCCAGUGGCCUGAGCGUGCCGUGCCUGCUGGAGGAGUGGGCCCUGACCCCGCCAGGCAGAGCCUCGGGUGCCCACCUCACCCAGCAGCGUGCCCCAAGCCCAGGGCACCACUGUCACCGAGAACACUGCCCUCCUGGCAAAUCACGUUCGUGAAGGGGCACUCGGGGCGCUGGAAACCUCCCCCAACUCCUGCAAAUCACGGAGGACCUGUCACUUAGGCCAUGGACCGCCCAGGAAGGGAAGAACCCCGAGGAUGGAGACCAGAGGUGCGACCUGGGAGGAGCGGGGGAGCAUCCGAGACGGGCCUUGGGCACACAGAGGGAGCCCUCGCCCCAGCACCUGGCUGGGUACCCAGUGACCUCCUAGAUACCUCCACCCAUCCUUGCCCCCUGCCCCAUCCCGGUCACCCAGAAAUCAUUCUGGACACGGCCCGCCCCCUCAAGCCCCUGCAGGAAGUGCCUGCCCUGCGGUGGCCCCCGGGCCCUCAGGGGAAGGGCCAGCUCCUUAUCCCGGCAUUCCAGGCCCUACCUGUCUCUGCUGGGGUCCCCCCUCCCCAGCCACGCUCACCUGCCUGCGGGAGAGACUUCUGACCCGGUCUCUGCUCACAGAUGGAAGGCUCACAGGCCACCUGGUUCAGGUGGCUGGACAGCAUCUGCGGCUCAGCUCGGGCCUGGCUCACGGGUCCAGAGUCCAGGCUCGGCCUCUUCCCCCUCCUUUCUGGAAGGCGCAGCUUCCCUGGCUUGACCCUGCUGAGCUGACAGGACUUUCUGGGCCGUGAUGGUCCCAGAAGGACGAUGUGGAAACUGAGGCCCAAACCAAGCCCCUGACCGUGGUUUACACACUGUGAAGGCAGCCCUGUGAUUUUGAUCUUGUAACCCGUGCUCACAGCCAAGGCCCUCCUGUUCCACCCAAGGUAGACAGGACGAGGGGACAGCGUCUGCUUCCCUUGGGGCUCACCCGCAGCCUCUGGGGCCUCUGGGGCCGUGUGUGCCCCCCACUCUACCUCAAGUUGGGAAGAGAUGCACACAGUCAGUGCUCGCUAGCUGAGGGGGCCACGGAAACCUGGGAGGGGCUGACGCAGGGGCGGCCAGGGCCAGGGUGUCUGGGAAGAGCCCCCCGCUCCACUCGUGGAUGGGAGGGCGCAGGGGCCCCAUGCCGGGGACAGUGGUGCUGGAGGCUCGCCCACCACCGGCCCCCUGCCCGCCAGGCCCUCUGCUCUGUGCUCUGCAGCCGGUCCUCACAGCACCCGCGGAACAGCCCUAAGAGCUGUGACGACGAGAUUCACCCCCUGACGGCGUGAUGCCCCAGCGGCGCCCUUCUAGAGGGAUCUGAGGAGAAACAAGGCUGCGACUCGCUCCUGAGGUGACUCUGGGACCUUGUCGUCCAGCUCCGAAGACCAGAGGUGAAACCACGACUCGCUUGUCCCUCUGGGAAGGACACAGGAGUGAGGGCCAAAGGAGGCCGCUCGACAACUGUCUUGAUUUCUGCAUGGGUGACUCAUGGGGGAAAGGUCACGUAGAAGGAAUCAUGGUGGCUUCGGACUCGACGAUGGCUGUGGGAGCCACUGGAAGACGAUGGAACAAUUCCUGCAAAAGUGGCCUCUGCUUAGCUUUUUCUAUAGGAAAAUGAUUUCCAAACUGGAAUUCUAUACUCGGUGUGACAGACUGCAUGUUUGUGCCCCUAAAUUCACGUGUUGAAACCUAACCCCUGAUGUGACAGUGUUAGGAGGUGAGGCCUUCGGGAGGUGUUAUAUGGAGAAUGAUCAGAGAACGGGGUGCACCAAUGGAGGGGAUGCCACCCAGGGGCUGGGGAGAGCUCCCUGGAGGAGGUGCGGCUUGGCUGAGUUGGCCUGGUGGUACACACUCAGAGACAGUGCAGUGCAGCGACUCUCACCCGCAGGCGCUCAGGAAGGACGCCACAUCUCCCCGCUGAUCAGACGCAGCGUCAGAGGAGCUUCUGCAGAGGGCCGGGCCCGGUGACGGCAGCGGUGCUCAGGAGCCAGCAGGCACCCGGUCCACUGGGGCCUUCCUCCAACGAGGAUUAACCGACACUGGUCAUAUGUGCCAGCUCUAGAGACCCACAGAGCUGUGGCCCAGCCCACACCUUUAAGAGAGGACGUGCACGAACAGAAGAAGGCCACUGGGUUGCAGAGGCGGGUGGGAGGCAGAGAGGGGGGCCUGGUCUGGGAACGGCCCCCAGAAGAGAAGCUGCUAGGCAGACAAUGACAGGAACGGUGUUGGAGGCAGAGGGAACAGCCUGUGCAAAGGCUCUGAGCAGAAGGCCCAGCUGCCCCUCUGUCCUCGGAGGGCCUGACGGGAUUGUGGGAGGACGGUGCUUGGCCCUUUACACAGCAAAUUCAAGCCAGGGGGGCCAGGGCUCUUUUAAGCUGACAUUUUCCGGCACAGCUGUUCGUGUUGUUCACAUAUCUGACAGCGGCCUGGCAAGCGUGCCCGCGAAACCCCGCUUCAUUGUUUUGGUUUUACUUUGUUUUUCUUUUUAAGGAAAAACAGCUGUAAGGCCAAGAGAGAAUGGAUGCUUUGGAGAAACUUCUGAUGCUACUUGCCCGGCUUAUACACUCAGGGCCAGGCCCCCAAACAGUCCACUGGGGCAGGGCAGGCCACAGCCAUCCCACGCACGGGCUGGGCUGAGCUGCCCGCCCAUCCAGGGUCAGCAGUGGGACCGAGGACGGCCCCGCCCCUUCAGGCUGCAGCCUCCGGCCAGCAGGAGCUUCCCCCUCCUCCGCUGUGACCAGACCAGACCCUGCAACGAGCCCUCGGGCCAGCUCUCUCUGCAGCUCCCAUGAGCCCUGUGGCCGGGCCAGGCUGGGCGCCUGCAGGACAUGGGGCCCGUCCUCUGUGCACCCCAAUCCCCAGAUGGUCUGUCCUCCUCGCUGUGACGCUGUAUGAUGGUGACAGCAGCAGCAGCGUGACAGUUCCCACUCACUGCACAUCGGACAGGAGCUGGCCCGUAUCCUCUCCAGUCCUCCCAGGCGCCCGCUGUGUAGACGACGUGGCCCCACUUUACAGACGAGGAGAAUGAGGUGCCACAGUUUGUGUCAGUUGCCGGAACCCAGAAGAGGCAGCCCGGGGAGGGCUCGGCAUGAAGAUGCCGCCCCCGCCUCCCUCACCGCCACCCCGCCCCCACCCCCCUCCCAGCGAGGACUUGAGGACGCGAGAAGGGGCUGCAGUGAGAGCCUCGGGGGUCCGACCUCAGGUGGGCGAGGGCGAGCUCUUCCUGCCCAUGGGUCCUGUCCCCAUGCUACUCCACAC